rnacentral:lncRNA from 1 species
AUGCAUGUGAUUAUUUUCUACAUAGGAUUGGUGGGUGGGACUCAAAGAGGGAGAGUUAGCUCUUGGGAGGAGAUAAAGUGACAUUAUAGAUAAGACAAUAUAGCCAGGGAGAGAAGACAGAAAGGCAUGAUGGGAGACUCAUGAGCAGAAGCAGAGGAGAGGACUGAAAUAAUUACAUCUGAGGAAGGUGAAGAAUUACAUGAUGAAGAUUCUGGUCUGUGUGCCACGAAAUUCCUCCCAGCUGGCAAGAAAGAUUGGUCCAGAAAAUGACAGGAUGCAAGCUUUGUAGUUUGGGGGUGUUGCCAUGGUUACCUUGAUCCAAGCACUAUUCCGGGAGCUAUAGGCAUAGCUAGAGUCAAGGCUGAGAUAUCUCCCUUGCAUGGUGUUUCCGUAUUUGUCGGUGGAGACAUGGCCAGUGUCCAGCCUGGAAAGCAGUGAGAGGUGGAACUUUGCACAGAAGUUAGAUCUGGACCCAGGACCAGAAGAGAACGAGGAGCUACUACUCAAGUUCCAGAGUCAGUGGCGAGAGUUUGGAGAUAUGGAAAUGAAAGAAAGAAUGACAGAUGAUGGUGGGACCCUGUACGCAGCCUUGAGACCCUCUGCAAGGCAAUGAGAUAGCUCAGACAGCCACAGAACACUGCAGAAGAUGUGAGACCUGAAGACUGUGAUGAGAUCCACAGAUAACUCUGGAACUCUCAAUACAGCUGUGGGACCAGUAGAUAGUCUUGAGAUACUUCAGAUGACCGUGGAACCAACCAACCAACAACCCUAAGACCUUGGGACCCUGAAGACAGUGAUGAGACUCUGCAGAUGGCCAUGGGACCCUGUAGGAAGUCAUAAGACCCUGCAGACAACCAUGAGACUCUGCAAAAGGUCAUCAGACUGUGGAGAUGGCAAUGAGGCCUUGCAAAUG